UUUGAUUAGUUUCAGUUCUGAGUAAGUUCUUAAGUGAUGGGGUCAAGGGUUUUGACUUGGGUUGGGCUUGAAAGAAAACAAACCCUAGCCCAAGAGAGGGGACGCAGGCUAUGAAGGGUCUUGGGAGGGAAAGGGUUUCUUUUCACACUAUUCUGAAGAAAGAAACCUUGAACACUUCUGAAACACGUAAAACAGAGGAGAAAGAGUGAGAGAAACUUUCCCCUUGCACCCUAGCCGUCACCGUCCCAAGCCCCACCACCGUCGACGUGUUCGCGCAAGGGAGAGAAGGAGUUUGCGAGUGAGAGGGAGAGAGGAAGGUCACGCGUGGGAGAAGAGGAGAGAAACCAGAACCUUGCUCUUCACUUUCAUCUUUUCUUCAAGCCUAAGGACAAAGAUGGUCGUGAAGAUAAUGGCGAUGACUCAUUCUUGGGAGUUGAUGCUACGUGACGUGCCAAUACCGGAGGACGACUACACUUCAGAGGAAGAGGCUAAGGAAUAGGGUUUGGGUUGAGAGUCUUUUGUUUUCUGUUGGGGUUGAGAGUUUCCGAAGUGUUGGUAUCGAACAAUUUUAUUGCUUAAAUUCGAAUGAACAAGUUUUGAUGUAAUCUUUAUUUUCAUUCAGGCCUUUGAUUCGUA